rnacentral:rRNA from 1 species
AGUGAACGCUGGCGGCGUGCUUAACACAUGCAAGUCGAACGAGAACGGAAUAUAGCUUGCUAUAUUUGUCAGCUAAGUGGCGCACGGGUGAGUAAUGUAUAGAUAACCUGCCCUUAAGAAAGGAAUCACAGUUGGAAACGACUGCUAAUGCCCUAUAUGCCUUUAAUACAUAAGUAUGCAAGGGAAACGCUUUAGUGCUUAAGGAUGGGUCUGUAUGGUAUAAGCUUGUUGGUGAGGUAAUGGCUCACCAAGGCUAUGACGCCUAACUGGUUUGAGAGGAUGAUCAGUCACACUGGAACUGAGACACGGUCCAGACUCCUACGGGAGGCAGCAGUGGGGAAUAUUGCACAACGGACGAAAGUCUGAUGCAGCAACGCCGCGUGGAGGAUGACACAUUUCGGUGCGUAAACUCCUUUUAUAUAGGAAGAUAAUGACGGUACUAUAUGAAUAAGCACCGGCUAACUCCGUGCCAGCAGCCGCCGUAA